AUGGAGUCGAUCAUAGCGCGGGCGCUGGAGUACACGCUCAAGUACUGGCUCAAGUCCUUCACCCGCGACCAGUUCAAGCUCAACGGCCGCACCGCCGAGCUCUCCAACCUCGAUAUCAAUGGCGACGCGCUGCACGCCAGCCUGGGGCUGCCUCCGUCUCUCACCGUCGAACGCGCGCGGGUCGGGAAGCUCCAGAUCACGCUGCCAUCGGUAUCAAAUGUGCAAGUGGAGCCAAUUGUGGUCAACAUUGAUAAACUUGAUCUCGUGCUUGUAGAGAAGGACGAUUCAGAAAAUCUUUCCGGCCCUACGAGCAACGCGUCAUCAACAGCAUCAACUAAAAGCACCGGAUAUGGAUAUGCUGAUAAGAUUGCAGAUGGCAUGACUGUACAAGUAGGUAUCGUGAACCUGCUAUUGGAAACACAUGGAGGUGCUUGCGGGCAAGGAGAUGCAACAUGGUCACCUCCGCUAGCUGCUAUCACAUUUCGUGAUCUCGUACUGUACACAACAAACGAAAAAUGGCAGGCUGUAAAUUUGAAAGAAGCAAGGGAUUUCUCCAACAGCACAGGAUUCAUUUAUGUUUUCAAGAAAUUGGAAUGGCGGUCACUGUCAGUUGAUCUUUUACCCCAUCCUGACAUGUUUGCCGAUGCACGAUUUAACUCUUCAAGCAGUCAAGAUAACAAACGAGAUGAUGAUGGUGCAAAGCGAAUGUUCUUUGGCGGCGAAAGGUUUUUGGAAGGAAUAUCAGGGGAGGCUAAUAUAACUCUGAAACGAACGGAGCAGAACAACCCACUUGGCCUGGAGGUUCAGCUGCAUGUUACUGAAGCUCUCUGUCCUGCUUUAAGUGAACCUGGUUUACGGGCGUUUCUUCGAUUCAUGACUGGGGUAUCUGCGUGCUUAAAUAGAGGAGAUUUGGAUCCAAAGUCUCAACAGCAUGCAGAAGCAGCAGGAUCUUCCUUGGUAUCCUUUAUUGUAGAUCACAUAUUCCUUUGCAUUAAAGAUGCUGAGUUUCAGCUUGAACUUCUAAUGCAAUCGCUGUUCUUCUCACGGGCUAGCAUUUCAGACGGGGAGAGUUCAAAAAACUUGUCUUGCAUAAAGGUUGCUGGGUUGUUUCUGAGGGACACAUUUUCUCGUCCUCCAUGCACAUUGAUACAACCAUCUAUGCAAGCUGUUCCACAAGAACCCUUGCCUAUCCCUGAUUUUGGUCAAAAUUUCUGUCCUCCGAUCUAUCCAUUUGGGAAUCAGUUCUUGGAAUUCGCUGCUGGAAUUCCUUUGUUUUCCCUUUAUUGUCUCCAGACCACUCCUUCUCCAUCACCUCCAAAGUUUGCUUCGAAAACAGUCAUCACAUGCCAGCCUCUUAUGGUGACCCUUCAGGAACAAUCCUGCUUAAGAAUUGCCUCAUUCUUAGCUGAUGGAGUUGUGCCCAAUCACAGUGCCACAGUUGCUGAUUCCUCAAUUAACAGCCUGUCGUUUUCUCUCAAAGAGUUCGAUCUAUCUGUUCCGUUAGAUGCUGAAGAAAUUGCAAGGUGCAGUGGAACCAAGACCGCUUGCUCCCAGUCAUCAUUUUCAGGAGCAAGACUGCAUGUAGAGGACCUACACUUCAGCGAGUCACCAUCAGCAAACUGUUCACUACUAAACCUUGACAAAGAUCCAGCUUGCUUCCUUCUUUGGGAAUAUCAACCUGUUGAUGCCAGCCAGAGGAAGUGGGUUAGUAGAGCUUCUCAUCUAAGCCUCUCGCUUGAAACCUCUAGUACUUCAAAUGGACAGAGAGUAGUGAGGGAUCCCUCUCCAAAUGUGUUGAAAUGUAUUGAAUUAGAUGACAUUCGAUUUGAGGCAGCUAUGGUUACCGCAGAUGGUAGCCCUCUGUGUGAUUUGCCACCCCCAGAGGGGGUUGUGAGAAUUGGUGUUGCUUUCCAACAGUUCAUCUCCAACACUUCAGUUGAGCAGUUGUUUUUUGUCUUAGGCCUCUACAGCUACUUUGGGCAGGUUGGAGAACGAAUUUCAAAGGUUAGUAAAGGUAACAAGUCUGGCAAAGAUAGUGAGCCUUCAGUUGACAAUUUUCAGAAAAAACUUCCCAGUGAUACGGCUGUGAGCUUAACUAUGAAUAGUCUCCAGCUCAAUUUCUUGGAACAUUUGUCAGCGGGAGACAUACAUAUGCCCUUGGUUCAGUUUGGUGGAGAGGAUCUCUACCUGAAAGUUUCUCAUCGCACUCUAGGUGGUGCCUUUGCAGUCACAACUAACGUGAUGUGGAGAACUGUCUCAGUAAACUGUUUGGAAGGAGAAAGUGCUACAAUCCAUGAGAAUGGCACUGCCAUGACGGGUGAACAUAACGUUGUGGUAUGUGAAAAUGGGCAUCCCAAGAUGAGACCGGUGUUUUGGGUUGACCAUCGUAGCAAACACCACGCUACAGGUGCUCAAUUCAUUGACAUAAACAUCACUCAUGUAAUGCCUUAUGACAUGAGGGAUAUGGAGUGCCAUAGCUUGAAUGUAUCAUCGAAGGUAUCUGGUGUCCGUCUCGGAGGUGGACUGAGUUAUACCGAGUCUUUACUGCAUCGUUUCGGUAUUCUCGGGCCUGAUGGUGGUCCAGGGGAAGGCCUCUUGAGAGGCCUGAAGGAUUUAUCUUCUGGUCCACUCGGGAAACUGUUCACACCAUCUCACGUCACUGACAAGGAAGAAGCAAGAUCCGAAGGCAAUGACAGCAAUUCGAAGUUUGAUCUGGGGGUGCCAGAUGAUCUUGAUGUGUCAGUUGAGUUAAGAAACUGGUUGUUCGCACUUGAAGGGACAGAAGAAGUAGGAGAUUGGUCUUCUCCUCGUAGUGGUGAUCCUAUUAGUAGGGAAGACAAAUGUUGGCAUACAACAUUCAGGAAUCUGCACUUGUCAGGCAAAAGCAGUGACAGACCUAACUUGGGAGGUGCAGAGAAGGUGUUGGGCAAGAAGGCAUUUCCAGUGGAGCGUUUUACGGCUGGAAUCGAAGGUUUACAGGCAAUUAAACCUCGCUUGAGAAAUCAAUUCGUUGGAAAUGGAAAAUUAAACAAUAGUCAGUCAUGCAGUGGAUUGAACAAUUCAAGUGCUAUUGGUGACCAAGGUGUUGAUGUUGAAGCUACCAUGGUCAUUGGCAAAGAUGAUACUGGGGAUGCCAAGUGGAUGAUGGAUAAUGUAAAGUUUUCAGUUAAAGAACCGAUUGAGGCUGUGGCAAAAAGAGAAGAGCUGGAGCACCUUGCCAUGAUUUGCAGAUCUGAAGCUGAUGCUAUGGGGAGGAUCACUGCUGGAAUUCUCCGUCUGCUUAAACUUGACAAGUCUCUUGGCCAGGGAACCAUAGAACAGCUGAGGAACCUAGGAAGUGGAGGCAUGGACAACAUUUUCUCGCCUGGCAGGCUCAGCAGGCAGAACAGUUUUGGCAGCGUAAGCACCCCUAGGACUCCCAGGACUCCAAUGUUUCAUACAACCUCAAAUGCGGCGUUGAAAGAGGCCCUGGAAGCGACAAUUGCUUCGCUACAAAGCGACAUCUCGGAAUCCAAGGCCAGAUGCGCGUCCCUAACCAGCACCGGAGACGAGAGCCGCGCGGAGGACAUCAGGCAGCUGACCGACAAGCUGGAGAGCAUGCAGUCCCUGGUGACAAGAAUGAGAACUUUGAUCUGA
rnacentral:rRNA from 1 species